GCAGAUUCCAGAGUCCGCUCUCACUUCUCUGAAUACUCAUAGGUUCACUCUAAACAACAUAAUGUCAUUUUCCCUGAACGUCAAUAAAUCUGAUAUAUUUUGACUAUUUAUCUCACAGGCAAUAAAGAUCCUUUGACAAAGUGCAUUUCAUGAAUUAGCUCAAAUUACAUUUGGGCUCCUUUAGAGCUUCAGAGAAAGGUGCCAAACAUUUGAUACAACACGACAUUCUAUUUAACUUCAGGGGAGAACAGAACUUCUGAUUCUCUCAUUAAAAGAAAAGAUAAAAAAGUCUGUUUUGUUAAAAAAAAAAUCUUCAGGCCAUUUAUUUUAAUUUAUCCGUCACUUUUAUUAAAGCAUUUCAAGGUGAUGUAUGUUUCCUGAAGUUUAGGUAUGAAUCAAAAUGAGUCAAUAUGUCUAAAAUGCACAUACUUCAUUUUUUGAGAUCGUUUAUUGUCCACUAUUGAUUAUGAAGUAUUAAAAUGAACAUGAAAAAUCAUGAAAUACUGCUAUAAGCCUUGGCUGCAGCACAUUUUACCUUAAUUCCUUUUAUCUGUCUUCUUUUCCACUUACUAGAUGUUUUCUGCCUCCCACAAAACAUUUUAGCUCAUAGUAAGGAUAAGUAAAUUACCUGCCAGUUGGAAAAAUUAAAACUUGAUCUCAUUAUGAUUUCAGUACAGAAGAGUUGUUAGUCAGCUUCAAUUACUGUAAUAAAAUACCUACGCUGAUCAACUUGUAAAGAUGAAAGGUUUAUUUUUGGCUCAGUUUGGGAAGUUGUGGUCCAUGCUUCUUUUGGACCUGUGAUGGAAUAUCAUGGAAGACCAAAGUUGCUUAUGUCCUGGCUAGGAUCUGAAGAAAGAGGAAGAUCAUGCCCCAAAAGCUGAAGACCCCUGACUAUCACAACCUUUUAAAGGUUCCUCCACCACCUCACAAUGCCAGUCUGGUGACUAAGGCUUUAAAACAUGGGCCUUUGGAUGAUGUUGCAGACCAAAGUAUAGCAAGGGCUUAAUAGCUUCUCCCACCCAGCUUUUCCUGUAUCUGACUGUUAAGGUUUGGUUAUAAGAAGUUCUCUUACGAGUAAAGCUCUGAAUAUGGGGGAGGUAUGCAUUGUUCAGCCAAUUU
rnacentral:lncRNA from 1 species